rnacentral:tRNA from 1 species
GGGCUUGUGCGCUGAAGGCAGGAUUGAAAAUCCUUGUGUCGGUGGUUCGAUUCCGCCCCAGGCCA